GACGUAGGGCGCGAGCGUUGUCCGGAUUUAUUGGGCGUAAAGAGCUCGUAGGCGGCUUGUCGCGUCGACUGUGGAAACCCGCGGCUCAACUGCGGGCCUGCAGCCGAUACGGGCAGGCUAGAGUUCGGUAGGGGAGACUGGAAUUCCUGGUGGAGCGGUGAAAUGCGCAGAUAUCAGGAGGAACACCCGUAGCGAAGGCGGCACUCUGGGCCGGAACUGACGCUGAGGAGCGAAAGCGUGGGGAGCGAACAGG
rnacentral:rRNA from 1 species